UAUAAAUAAAUAAUAUUAAUCAAGUUUACCUCAGAUUACAAAAUAGCACCUCAUUAUGAUUUCGUUAGAUGUAGAUAAAAUGGUUGCGUUUGCCAAAGAGUGCAAGUAUUUGCCAGAACAUGACUUGAAGAAGUUGUGCGAUUAUGUGUGUGAUCUAUUGCUUGAAGAAUCAAAUGUCCAGCCUGUUUCAACUCCAGUAACAGUAUGCGGUGAUAUCCAUGGACAAUUUUAUGACCUACUUGAACUGUUUCGAACUGGCGGGGAAAUACCAGACACAAAUUACAUCUUCAUGGGUGACUUUGUUGAUCGUGGCUAUUACAGCUUGGAAACAUUCACCUAUCUUCUGACUUUAAAGGCGAAGUGGCCAGAUAAGAUUACUUUACUUCGAGGGAAUCAUGAAACUAGGCAAAUUACUCAAGUGUAUGGGUUUUAUGAUGAGUGCCAAACAAAGUAUGGUAAUGCCAAUGCAUGGCGUUAUUGCACUAAGGUGUUUGAUCUGCUGACCAUUGCAGCAAUCAUUGAUUCUAAAAUUCUAUGUGUACAUGGCGGUUUAUCUCCUGACAUCAAGACCUUAGAUCAAAUUCGUAUAAUUGACCGCCAGCAAGAAAUCCCACACAAAGGUCCGUUCUGUGAUCUGGUUUGGUCCGAUCCAGAGGACGUGGACACCUGGGCAAUCAGCAACAGAGGAGCAGGCUGGCUAUUUGGUGCUAAAGUUACCCAGGAAUUUGUACAAAUCAAUGACUUGUCGCUGAUCUGCAGAGCUCACCAAGUUGUCCAUGAUGGUUAUAAAUACAUGUUCAACGACCAUUUGGUUACAGUGUGGUCUGCUCCAAAUUAUUGUUACCGUUGUGGCAAUAUUGCAGCAAUACUGUCUAUUACAUCACCUGAAGAGCGAGAAGCAAAAUUAUUUCGUGCUGUCCCAGACAACAUGAGGGUAAUUCCAUCAAGAACCACAACUCCUUACUUUCUCUAAAGCAACCAUUCACGACUUGACAUAACCAUAGACAAUCAUACAUGUGUUGAUAAACACUAACAGUGUGCAAACAAAUCAGUCAACAAUAAUGUUUUUAUCCAACCAUGUUUAUACUAAACACCAGGUUUUGAUUCUCUGGAUGCGAAUAGUGAUAGCAACACCAGGAUAAGGAUUUUCACUUUUUUUUCAGUGAUGUUUAAUGUCUAUAUAAUAUCAUCAACUGCUUUAUGAGUAUAAUAUUCAUAUAUAUAUAUUAAUAUUUGAGUACUGUAUUUGCAGUUUUAGCCUAAAGAUCUAAGUAACAACCGUAUUUUUAAAUCAGCAAUGUAUGUCUGAAAAUCAAUUUAUUAUACUGUUGAGUAUUGUAACAAACUAAUUAUUUACAAUUUGUGCCGAACUGCAUGAUUUUUCAUUCUAUAGAGAAUAGAGAUGUAUAGUUCAAUGUUCAACUUUAUGUUUUUGGUAAUUUUAUACAGUCUGGCACCUCAUGUAUUUUAUGAGUUACAAAUACAAACUGAGAAUUGUAUA